AUACGGAGGGUGCAAGCGUUGUUCGGAAUUAUUGGGCGUAAAGCGCGUGUAGGCGGUUGUUUAAGUCUGAUGUGAAAGCCCUGGGCUCAACCUGGGAAGUGCAUUGGAAACUGGACAACUUGAGUACGGGAGAGGGUAGUGGAAUUCCGAGUGUAGGGGUGAAAUCCGUAGAUAUUCGAAGGAACACCGGUGGCGAAGGCGGCUACCUGGACCGAUACUGACGCUGAGGCGCGAAGGCGUGGGUAGC
rnacentral:rRNA from 1 species